UACGAAGGACCCAAGCGUUAUCCGGAUUCAUUGGGCUUAAAGGGUGCGUAGGCGGGUUGAUAAGUCAGUGGUUAAAGCCCAACGCUUAACGUUGGAACUGCCAUUGAUACUGUCGAUCUUGAAUGUGUUUGAUGUGGGCGGAAUAUGACAUGUAGCGGUGAAACGCUUAGAUAUGUCAUAGAACACCGAUUGCGAAGGCAGCUCACAAAGCCGCUAUUGACGCUGAGGCACGAAAGCGUGGGGAGCAAACAGG
rnacentral:rRNA from 1 species